GCUUUUGGCACCUGCCUGGAGGAGGAGUCUGGACCCUCCUUGGCUAACCCCACCCACCCUCCAUCACCAUGGCAACCAUGCAGGUGAGCCUCAUCACUGCUAAUCCUCUAAUUACCAGCCACCUCUUCAAUCGGCUGUAAUUACUUUGGGGACACAGUUAACCUCUCAUUAGGAACGCACGGCCGCUUUCUCCAAAAGCGCAGCAGUGACAUGCCUAGUAAUUUACCGCCCCGGCUCGCAGGGCCGCUUUGUGUUUAACUCGGGCGCCAUCGCAUCCCUGUCAUUACUCCAGCCUGGUUGUCAUGACGAUUAAUCAUUCAAUCCCUCAUCAGCAACUUUUGCCAAAUGUCACCCCGCUCUUGAUCAAAAUCCAUCCUGGAGCCCGACACUGGGGGACUAAUGACUUGGAAAUAGGCUUCUCCAUUCCAGACAGCUUUCCCCCAGGACUCCUCAGCUCCCUCCAGGAAAGGGAGAGGGGGCCCCGAGUUCAGUGUGGUGGGGGGUGAGGGGCACAGAAAAACCAGCAUGUAUCGGGCGCUGGCUCCCUGCUAGGCACCUGAGGGGCACUGAUCCUUUUAACCCUCAGAACCACUGGAGUGCUGCAAGGGAGGCUGGUGGUUUGCCAGCAAGGAAGUUUGGAGAGAUUCUAACUCAGACCUGUCUGACUCCAAAGCUGAGAUCUUUUUUUUUUUUUUUUUAAUAUCAAACCUCAAGGAGAAUGAGCCUUCCCAACUAGCAAGGAUCCUACAAUGUCAGAGUUUGGGCAGCAUUGUAGAAAUUAGCCGGCCCAUUAAAUUCAAGGCAAAAAUGCCUUAAGAGACAACUCUGGGCACUUUAUGAUAAGAAACCCAAUCCAGCGACUUCCCUGGUAGUCCAGUGGUUAAAAAUCCACCUUGUGUUGCAGGGGACACUGGUUAGAUCCCUGGUUGGAGAACUAAGAUCCCAUACGCCAUGAGGCAAUUAAGCCCAAGUGGGGCAACAAAGAUUCCACGUACUGCAACUAAGACCCAGGCAGUCAAAUAAAUAAAUAAGUAAAAAAAAAAAAAAAAAAAAAGAAACCCAAUCCAGAGCGAAUACCUAACUGUCAUGAACAUCUGUGUCCCAAACAACACGGGAACAACACCCAGCAGACAGCAACCUCAGAACCCAGGUGAUGAAACAGGCUCAGCCAUACUUGGACUGACUUGGGUUCAGAUCUCAACUCUCUCACGCUGCAGCUGUAUGCCUCUGGGCUAAUAUAAGGACCCUUAGAGCUUUAUGAUGGACUUUAGUGGCUGACGAACUCCCUGAAAUACAAGCUGCAUUGCCAUUAGCUGAGGCAUGUGGGGUCUCAGCUCCCCAACCAGGGAUCGAGCUUGCACUUCCCCGCAUCGGAAGGCAAAAUCUCAGCCACUGGACUGCCAAGGAAGUCCCCCCUGUGCUUUUUAAUAUCAUGUUGCCUCCUCGGAGAAGUCUUUGAUCAGUUUUAUACCAAUAGGUAUUGAUACUACAGCCUUGAAAGUACUUCCUUGAAGCUACCAGCCCACCAUAAAGUUACCAGCAUUCCACCCCCCGCGCCCACCCCUCACCCCAGCUUUGCUCACUAGACCUUCCACGCGAGCAACAUAGUAACAACACAGUAAUAAUCAAGAUAAUAAUAAAUAUUGUCUUUCCA